rnacentral:rRNA from 1 species
UACGAAGGGGGCUAGCGUUGUUCGGAAUUACUGGGCGUAAAGCGCACGUAGGCGGAUUUGUAAGUCAGGGGUGAAAUCCCGGGGCUCAACCUCGGAACUGCCUUUGAUACUGCAAAUCUCGAGUCCGGAAGAGGUGAGUGGAAUUCCCAGUGUAGAGGUGAAAUUCGUAGAUAUUAGGAAGAACACCAGUGGCGAAGGCGGCUCACUGGUCCGGUACUGACGCUGAGGUGCGAAAGCGUGGGGAGCAAACAGG